GACGAACGCUGGCGGCGUGCUUAACACAUGCAAGUCGAACGGAGAAGCGAUUAGGGGUGGCCCAGUAGGGAACGGGCGAGUAACACGUGAGCAACCUGCUCACGGCUCUGGGACACCCGCAGGAAACGGUGACUCCUACCGGAUAACACCAGCAUCUGCUUAGCGUGUGGGUGGAAUGUUUUUCGGCGGGAGUUCGGCUCGCGGCUUAUCAACCUGUUGGUGAGUUGAUGGCUCACAAAGGAGACGACGGGUAGCCGGCCCUAGAGGGCGACCGGGCACACUGGGACUGAGAGAGGGCGCAGACGCCUAUGGGAGGCAGCAGUGGGGAAUCUGACAGAAUGGGGGAAAGCCUGAUGCAGAGACGCCGCGUUAGGGAUGCCGGCUUACGAGGUGUAAACCUCUUUCAGCGCCGAUGAAGCGAAAGUGACGGUAGGAGCAGAGGAAGCACCGGCUAACUACGUG
rnacentral:rRNA from 1 species